rnacentral:piRNA from 1 species
AGGAGUAUACUCUGAUGGGAACAGAUGGG